rnacentral:rRNA from 1 species
GAAACUGCCUGAUGGAGGGGGAUAACUACUGAACACUGGAUCUAAUACCGUAUAACCUCACAAGACCAAAGAGGGGGACCUUGGGGCCUCUUGCCCUCAUAUGCGCCCAUGUGGGAUUAUCUAGUGGGGGGUGAAACGGCUCCCCUACGACACCAUCCCUAUGUGGUCUGAGAAUAUGACCCCCCACUCUGGAACUGACACACGGUCCAGACUCCUACGGGAGGCCACAGUGGGGAAUAUUGCACAGUGGGCGCAAGUCUGAUGCCCCCGUGCCGCGUGUAUGAAAAAGGUCUUCGGUUUGUAAAACACUUUCCGCGGAGAAGAGGGUGUUGGGGAUAAUAACCUCUGCUUUUGACUUUCCCCGCAAAAAAAGCCCCCUAUAUCUCCGUGCCCGCCCCCGCGGUUAUACGGAGGGUGCAAGCUUUAAUCGGAAUUAGUGGGCGUAAAGCGCACUCAGGCUGUCUGUCGAGUCAGAUGUGAAAUCCCCGGGCUCACCCUGCCAACUGCUUUCAAAACUGGGGGGAUAGACUCUUGUAGAGGGGGGUAGAAUUCCGUGUGUAGCGGAGAA